GUUGCUGAGGCUGACUUUGAACUUGUGAUCCUCCUGCCUCAGCCUCCCAAGUCGCUGGGAUCACAGGCGUGCACACCGCAUCGCACCGGCUGGAAUAGGCUGUUUAACCCCUACGUCUAUGCUGAUUUUGAUUGUCACUACAGGAGGGACUUUUCGGAAACCUGAGAUUUUGAGACCUCUGGGUUCGGGGUAGAACCCUGGCCUGGGGCCUGGACUCCAGCUCCCUCUCUGUGGACACUGGCAACGCGAUGCUGGCAGCCACACCCACCUUCGGUUCCUUCAUCUGCCAAAUGGAACAACUGCAGGAGACGAUCAUCCCUAGGGUCCUUCCCUGUCCCUGGUGGCCGGGUCGGGGGCAGGGACUUGCCCGUGAUGACGCAGCCCCAGGGGUGGUGAUUCUGGAGAGGAAAUAACUCACCGUCUUCUCCUCUCCCACACACAAGGUUCCGGGUGGUUGAAAGGCUUCCCAGGGACAUCCCAGGCACAUCAGCAAGCGGAUCUUUUUCACCUGCGCGUGCCUGCUCUCCCCGCACCCCCUGCGGCCCCUGGAGGCUGGCGUCCGCCUGGCCUCUGCUCUGGCUUCCCCUCAGGUAUGGGGGUGGGUGGCACAGAUUCUGCUUUUCCUAGGGGCCAAGAUCUCUGCCAUGUGUUUGGAUGCCAUCUUCAUUGAAGAACCUUCCCAAAUCACAGGACCUAACCCAAGUCAUUUGAUCCAGUGGCUAAAACCAGGGCAGUUGGCAGAGGCAGAUCCAUGGGGUCUGGGGCAUGAUGCAGCCCCAGGUGCCAGGACAAGGUCUACCGGGCCUGGUUCACGUGCCCCAGAAGGGAGCAGAGUGUCCCGGGACCUCGUCGUUCAAGGCCUGGGCCAGGAGACGCCCGGCCUCCUCCCACUGUCCCCAGGUCUAGACGGCACUGUGGUCAGCUCCAAGGACUUUGGGAAGCUGUGAAGACUUUAGAGAAAAAGAAUGUCCUGGGGACAUGAGAGCCAAUAGGUCUGGAGGGGGCUCCGCUUUGAGGGUCCCGAAAUAACACGGUGAACGUGCUGUGUGAACCAAGAGGCAGGGCCACACCUAGCUGAGACCCUCAGAGCACGGAGCAACGACCAGGAGGCCACCCGCCCGAGGACCAGCUGAUCUGAGGCCAGGUCUCCGCUCCGAGGUCCAGGGAGGGUGGACCUGUGUGUGCCAGUCGCUCAUCUGUAAGUGAGAGCGGGGCACAGCGACGGUCGCUCUGGGCCUUUCUACCCUGGGAGUCUAGGUCUGGGUGACCGUCUCCCCGGCACCCUCUCCCUCGCUGAGAACUGACGACACAGAGGCGGGACCAUUUGCCAGGCACAUGCCCAGCAGAGUCCAGGGAGUGACCACCACCCUCGGGGCAGUUUCUGUGGAUAACUCUGUGGCCUGUGGACUUUGUCUUUUUUCCUUUUUCCUCAGACUUUGUCUUGCUAUGUUGCCCAGAUUGGCCUUAAACUCUUGGGCUCAAAUGAUCCUCUUGCCUCAGCCUCCCAAGCAGCUGUGACCACAGAGCAAGGGAUCCAAAAGAGCAAGACGGAAUGGCAGUGCCUUUUAUGAUCUAGCCCAGAAGGCAGCCACCACCAUUCCAACUCUGGAUUCUCCUGGGAUGGAAGACCCGCCCUGGCGCAGCGUGAGGAGGCACGGAUUACUGAGGACCUUCUCUGAGCCUGGCAAUCACAGUCUGUCCUAGGUGGGUAUUGACUUAUUAAGCAUGGAGUCGGUACCGUUAACACUGCCACUUCACAGAGCACUCUGGUGACUCCCCCCAAGCUAGACUUCCGGGGGACUGAGUGCUCCAGAAAUCCUGUGUGGAAGACCUUUCCCAGCAUGAUGGAAGGUAAAGAUGGGACCUUUGGGGUAAGUAGGGUUAGUUGAGGUUAUGAAGAAGGACCCUGGUCCUCUGGGAUUAGUGGCCUUAUCAAAAGGAACUUGCCCCUUCUCCCUCCUGCACACACACCAAGGCGGGGCUCUGUGAUCAGCACAAAGCAAGAUGGCAGCCUCCCACAAGCCAAGACCAGAGGCCCCGGCAUGAGGUCCACCUUGCCGGCACCCUGAUCUUGGACUUCCCGGACUCCAGAACUGAUAGAGAGACAGUCUUGCGGGGGCCCAGCGGCUGCCCUUCUCCACCCCCCUCAACUUGAACCUAGAGGUUGCCACACACACCCUCCGGGACUAUCCAGAUCAUAAACAAGGAGCAGGAGAGAAAACAGACUAUAUUUAAACCAGCAGUUGCUCCAUAAACAAAGCUAAAAGACAAGUAACCAGCAGGGAGGGAGCAUCAGAAGCACGUGGAAAGACCAAGUGUCCCUGUCCACGAGCAAGCAGAUCUUCAGGCCCAGUGAGGGACACAGAAAGUCAAUUCAGAAAAGACGGCAUGCCGAAGCCCCCCGGACCAAAACGAAACCUGCAGGUGCUUGUCCUCGCUGGAGUGAUAAGUCACAUUAAAAGUGCAAUAAAAUCUGAUUUUUCUAUCAGAUUGACAAAAAUAUCACAGGUGGAGGGCGGGGCUGUAGGGACGGGGGCACUGCCUCCUCUAGAGCUUGGGUCAGGGUGCCAUUUGAUAAAGUCAAAAUGUAACAUAUUCCAAUUUGUGCUUCAGCAGGUGACUCUCAGGAAUCUAGCCCGUCAAACUAGAAAGGUGGCAGAGAUAGACAGAUGGAUAGAUAGAUUCAGAUAUGCAGAUCUAUUUAUGUACAAAGAUGGUUUUUGCAAUGCUGUUUGUAGUAGCAAAACAUUGGAAGUGACCCACAUUUCCAUCGAUAGGACAGAUAAACG